rnacentral:rRNA from 1 species
UGGGGAAUAUUGCACAAUGGGCGCAAGCCUGAUGCAGCCAUGCCGCGUGUAUGAAGAAGGCCUUCGGGUUGUAAAGUACUUUCAGUCGGGAGGAAGGUGUCAAGGUUAAUAACCUUGGCAAUUGACGUUACCGACAGAAGAAGCACCGGCUAACUCCGUGCCAGCAGCCGCGGUAAUACGGAGGGUGCAAGCGUUAAUCGGAAUUACUGGGCGUAAAGCGCACGCAGGCGGUUGAUUGAGUCAGAUGUGAAAUCCCCGGGCUUAACCCGGGAAUUGCAUCUGAUACUGGUCAGCUAGAGUCUUGUAGAGGGGAGUAGAAUUCCAUGUGUAGCGGUGAAAUGCGUAGAGAUGUGGAGGAAUACCGGUGGCGAAGGCGGCCCCCUGGACAAAGACUGACGCUCAGGUGCGAAAGCGUGGGGAGCAAACAGG